GUCGAACGGUAACAGGAAGAAGCUUGCUUCUUUGCUGACGAGUGGCGGACGGGUGAGUAAUGUCUGGGAAACUGCCUGAUGGAGGGGGAUAACUACUGGAAACGGUAGCUAAUACCGCAUAACGUCGCAAGACCAAAGAGGGGGACCUUCGGGCCUCUUGCCAUCGGAUGUGCCCAGAUGGGAUUAGCUAGUAGGUGGGGUAACGGCUCACCUAGGCGACGAUCCCUAGCUGGUCUGAGAGGAUGACCAGCCACACUGGAACUGAGACACGGUCCAGACUCCUACGGGAGGCAGCAGUGGGGAAUAUUGCACAAUGGGCGCAAGCCUGAUGCAGCCAUGCCGCGUGUAUGAAGAAGGCCUUCGGGUUGUAAAGUACUUUCAGCGGGGAGGAAGGGAGUAAAGUUAAUACCUUUGCUCAUUGACGUUACCCGCAGAAGAAGCACCGGCUAACUCCGUGCCAGCAGCCGCGGUAAUACGGAGGGUGCAAGCGUUAAUCGGAAUUACUGGGCGUAAAGCGCACGCAGGCGGUUUGUUAAGUCAGAUGUGAAAUCCCCGGGCUCAACCUGGGAACUGCAUCUGAUACUGGCAAGCUUGAGUCUCGUAGAGGGGGGUAGAAUUCCAGGUGUAGCGGUGAAAGCGUAGAGAUCUGGGAAUACCGUGGCGAAGGCGGCCCCCUGGACGAAGACUGACGCUCUG
rnacentral:rRNA from 1 species